CUUGAACCAUGUUUAAAGGUGCUUCCUGAGGCCAUUGGAAUCGUUCAGCCAAAUUAAGGAUGUGAAUUGACUGAGAUUGAGGACCCGAAAAGAUGACCCGCACCGUAGCCUAAAAUUUUCGUAUUCAUCGUAUUUCUCCCGGGUUGGUUUCGCGAUGGAGGUCCAGAAAAGAUGACCCGCCUGUUUCAUUUCAUUCGAAUUUCCUCUCUUUCCCUAUAUUCCAUACCAACUUAGCCUCCGCCUAGAGAGAGGAAGCUUCCACCUUUCAAAUCAAACUCGGAGAAAUCAAGGACGACGAAAUGAAGAAAUCGAAGAGGACGAGACGUUUUGGAUUAUGAGGUUAAUUGAUCAGCUUGAUGGGUGACCAGAGCUAGCUAGCGAGUAGUAUCCCACAGGCCAUUAUACUCUAGUAAAAUAUGAUCCUGCAUUCAUAAUGCAUUUGCUUCAAAGUGUGUGAGAUAUGAUACUCUAGUAAAUUGGAGUUAAAGCCUUUAUACUCUAGCAUGCUAUUCUAAAAGUACAUUUGCUUCAAAUUUUGAUUGCAGGUCAGACUCAACCGCCAUUCUUCAAUUGCGUCACUGAUUUGGUUUCAGGUUUUCUCAUUUACAGGAAUAAGAAACGUCUUUUUCUUUGUUCAUUCUGUUUGUUCAGUUUAUUUGGUUGCAUUCUUUUAUUUACUUUGCUAUUCAAUUUAUGUGUUCCAUAUUGAUUUUGAAUAUCCUUUUGGACUUAUUUUGGCACAAUUUCUCAUCCAUAUUUUAAAAGUGAAAGUAAGUAUAAAGCAUUAAGUUUCACUAUACACAAGCAAGUCCAGCUUUUAUUUGAUUGGAUGGGACUUGCACGACUUUGGGUUGGUUCAAUGCUAAUUAUUUAGCAUGCUUUGCAGGCAGUUAAGGUAAUUAAAUAAAAGUCACUUAUGAAGCAUUCUAUUAUUUAAAACUCUUAUUAACUGGAUGUUUUUUGAAGUGUAGGAAGGUGGUAAGCCUGUAUCAUUUAUAGACAAUUAUGAAAAUAUGUAUCAAGAUGCAGAUCAUAAGUGGGUAAGUGAGGUUAAACGAGUGAGACAUGAGAAAAUGAAGUAGAGUAGGAAAGAUGUCAAGGCAAAGCUCAUUGAAGAGGCACCAGAAGGUACUCCUAUUGAGUCAACAGAAGUGACUUUGAAUGAUGAGAUUGUAAUUAUGGUUGAGAGUGUGGGAGAAAAGGUGGCAAGGUUCACAGUGCAGGUGCUUUUCCUCACUUAGAUAUCUCGUAUGCUUUUUCCAUGGUAAUAUGCUCUAUGUGGAAUGAGAUGAAAGGUAAUCUACAAAAGCUUACAUCCACUGUAAGUUGCUUGAAAAUGUGAAGUUGAAAUCUGUGUGGCGGGCAAUAUUUAGCAAAUUAAAUGGGGGUAACAACAUCAAUUGUGAUGCUGAUGAUAACUUUGUACAAGGAACUGAUGGUAUUGAAGGCAGUGAUGACUUCCCUGAUAUGGAGGGUUAGAUUGAUCCCUUGGGUUUCAUCAAAUAUGUAGGAAUUAUCUUUUAAAUAUGCAGUUAAGGAACUAAUUAGUCCUUAAUCGAUCAUAGGAUAUUUUAUUUUGAAUCCUUUUGGAAUUGCAAUUAUAGAAAAAUUAUAUGUUGGUGA